CACGGAGGGUGCAAGCGUUGUUCGGAUUUAUUGGGCGUAAAGCGCGUGUAGGCGGUCUCUUAAGUCUGAUGUGAAAGCCCUGGGCUCAACCCAGGAAGUGCAUUGGAUACUGGGAGACUUGAAUACGGGAGAGGGUAGUGGAAUUCCUAGUGUAGGAGUGAAAUCCGUAGAUAUUAGGAGGAACACCGGUGGCGAAGGCGGCUACCUGGACCGAUAUUGACGCUGAGACGCGAAAGCGUGGGGAGCAAACAGG
rnacentral:rRNA from 1 species